CCUACGGGCGGCAGCAGUGGGGAAUAUUGGACAAUGGGGGUAACCCUGAUCCAGCCAUGCCGCGUGUGUGAAGAAGGCCCUCGGGUUGUAAAGCACUUUCAGUGAGGAAGAACGCCUGGUGGUUAAUACCCAUCAGGAAAGACAUCACUCACAGAAGAAGCACCGGCUAACUCCGUGCCAGCAGCCGCGGUAAUACGGAGGGUGCGAGCGUUAAUCGGAAUUACUGGGCGUAAAGCGCGCGUAGGUGGCUUGAUAAGCCGGUUGUGAAAGCCCCGGGCUCAACCUGGGAACGGCAUCCGGAACUGUCAAGCUAGAGUGCAGGAGAGGAAGGUAGAAUUCCCGGUGUAGCGGUGAAAUGCGUAGAGAUCGGGAGGAAUACCAGUGGCGAAGGCGGCCUUCUGGACUGACACUGACACUGAGGUGCGAAAGCGUGGGUAGCAAACAGGAUUAGAUACCCUUGUAGUC
rnacentral:rRNA from 1 species